rnacentral:rRNA from 1 species
AGCAUAUCAAUAAGCGGAGGAAAAGAAACCAACAGGGAUUGCCCUUAGUAACGGCGAAGUGAAGCGGCAACAGCUCAAAUUUGAAAUCUGGCUCUUUCAGAGUCCGAGUUGUAAUUUGCAGAGGGCGCUUUGGAGUUGGCAGCGGUCCAAGUUCCUUGGAACAGGACGUCACAGAGGGUGAGAAUCCCGUACGUGGUCGCUAGCCUUCGCCGUGUAAAGCCCCUUCGACGAGUCGAGUUGUUUGGGAAUGCAGCUCUAAAUGGGAGGUAAAUUUCUUCUAAAGCUAAAUACUGGCCAGAGACCGAUAGCGCACAAGUAGAGUGAUCGAAAGAUGAAAAGCACUUUGGAAAGAGAGUCAAAUAGCACGUGAAAUUGUUGAAAGGGAAGCGCUUGCAGCCAGACUUGCCUGUAGUUGCUUAUCCGGACUCUUGUCCGGUGCACUCUUCUAUAGGCAGGCCAGCAUCAGUUUGGGCGGUUGGAUAAAGGUCUCUGUCACGUACCUCUCUUCGGGGAGGCCUUAUAGGGGAGACGACAUGCAACCAGCCUGGACUGAGGUCCGCGCAUCUGCUAGGAUGCUGGCGUAAUGGCUGUAAGCGGCCCGUCUUGAAACACGGACCAAGGAGUCUAACAUCUAUGCGAGUGUUUGGGUGUCAAGCCCAGACGCGUAAUGAAAGUGAACGGAGGUGGGAACCCUUUGGGUGCACCAUCGACCGAUCCUGAUGUCUUCGGAUGGAUUUGAGUAAGAGCAUGGCUGUUGGGACCCGAAAGAUGGUGAACUAUGCUUGAAUAGGGUGAAGCCAGAGGAAACUCUGGUGGAGGCUCGCAGCGGUUUCUGACGUGCAAAUCGAUCGUCAAAUUUGGGCAUAGGGGCGAAAGACUAAUCGAACUAUCUAGUAGCUGGUUCUGCGA